rnacentral:rRNA from 1 species
CGAGAAUUUUUCUCAAUGGGCGAAAGCCUGAAGGAGCGACGCCGCGUGGGGGAUGAAGGGUUUCGAUCCGUAAACCCCUGUCAUUCGUGAACAAUGCUUGCUGUUCAAGAGAUGGCGAGUUGAUAGUAACGGAAGAGGAAGGGACGGCUAACUCUGUGCCAGCAGCCGCGGUAAUACAGAGGUCCCGAGCGUUGUUCGGAUUCACUGGGCGUAAAGGGUGCGUAGGUGGCAUGUUAAGUUUGAUGUGAAAGCUCAGAGCUCAACUCUGAAAUGGCAUUGAAUACUAGCGUGCUGGAGGUUUGGAGGGGGGACUGGAAUUCUCGGUGUAGCAGUGAAAUGCGUAGAUAUCGAGAGGGACACCAGUGGCGAAGGCGAGUCCCUGGACAACACCUGACACUGAGGCACGAAAGCCGGGGGAGCAAACAG